rnacentral:pre_miRNA from 13 species
AAAAAUUCAAUGCCGUGGAGCUGCUUGCAAGGUACCUAAUUGUUUGAAAUUCAUUCUCAAUUGGUCCCCUCCAAGUAGCUCUAUUGCAUUGUGUUU